rnacentral:lncRNA from 1 species
GGCUUGAAACUUUCUUUGAGUUACAUCUGAAUUUGCUCUGCAGCACACAAAUGUGAAAUGUUAGGAAAAAAGGUCAGGAGCUUGAAUAUAACCUCAGAUGAUGCAGAAAUACCAAGUAGCUGAACGUUGGAUUACAAACAUACAUGUACAUGCAACCAUGGAAGCCUGUGACAGAUGCUGGAAGCAUGCAGAAGAAUCAUG